CAAAGAAUGGGGUGGGGAGGCCAGAGGAGAUAAGAGCUUCCCCACCCUAAACUACCCUUGGCCUCUGGUCCUUAGGACGCCAAAGUUAAUUUAGCACUGGGGCGAGAAUUUCGGGAGAGGGAACUCUUGGCACCUGGAGCUGCUUAGUCCCCCCCCCCCCCAAGGCCGGAGAGGGAAAUCCCCAGGCCCGAGGUGGUGGUCGCUGAGCUCCAGCUGGCCGGGAACUCCUGCUGAGAGGACCUCGAGCGCGCGGACGCCAGUCGCCCUUGGCCUUGUUGCAGGUCACUCGAGAAACAGAAGUCUCAGGAUUUUCGGAUCCUUCCUUCCCGUGGAUUUUCAGGAAGGCCUUCAAAUAUUUUUGGUUCUCUUUUUUUGUCAUCCUUGUCAUUCUGCCUACCACAGGGAGAGAAUGAUAAGAACAUAAUAGGGAGACUGCAUAGCUCUGCAAAUUAAGCUCUCUUAAAAGAGCAAGAGCUGGUCUUCAAGUGCUAGCAGAUAAGAGAAAAAAAAAUACGAAAAAUUACAUAACCUGGGAUAAUGAAUAGUUGAAUAAUACUUUUGAGAUUUUCUGCAGAGCAGUAAUUGGAAAUCUUUGCUUUGAGGGGGACAGGGAUGGGGAUGGGGUGGGGAACAGUUGGCUGCAGCUUUGCCCAGAGGCAUUAAACUCUGGUCUCUUGGAAGGGCAGAUAGACAUCACCUGCACAGACUCCACAGAGCUGUCCACAGCUUCAGAGACGGAGCGGUCCCAAGGCAUUUGGAGGUGGCAUUUUUAAAUUCACCCCUUCUUCAGCUUUUGCAAUUACCAGGCCAGUGAGAUCAACGCCUGCACAAAUCCAAGGAUCGUGUACUAGGAGCUGUGCAUUCUCAGAGACACUCGGCUUCUCUUCCUAUCUGCAAAUAGAGAAAACACCUACCCUGUGGGAUUGCUGCAAGGAUCCACAAGACCCAGGUUCAUCUUCCACCACUCUUAAUCACUGCAGUCAUGAAGGGGCAACCCAUGUCUUCUCAGCCUUUGGAUCCUGUACAUGACACAGGUCUACUUCCUUCAGCACCUACUAAACGUUCACUGAAUAAACGAAUGUGCAAGUGGAAUUAUCAUUGAAACCAUAUUCACUAUUAUUUCCUACCACUCCACCCCAGUCCUUCCAUUCCAGCCAUGCACUCCUAACCUGUUUCCUCUGCCAGAAUGACAUCGCCACUCUCCUGUGCUUGCUGAAAUCCCAGACUGAAAUGCUACAUCUCCUGGGAAGGCUUGUCUAGUGCCAGUACCAAUAUCCAGUGUGCUCCUCCUCAUUAACUGCUGCAAAGGUGGCUCUUUCUGUGAAUUGGUAGCAUAACCCUUGCCAGAUGUACUAAGUUGUAGUGAUCAGUGUGCCAUCUCACAUAUUUCUAGCUUAUGAGGUCCUGGAGGUAAAAGAAACUACAUCUUGUUGUUUCCAGAGCCCAGUGUGCUAUAGUGUUCAGCCUGAUAGCCACUCAGUAAAUAUUUGCAAAAUUAAAGCAAAUUGUUAAAUAUCUAUGUGUAUGUUAUAUGAGUAAUGUAUUAUCCAUAAAUAUAAUAUAUUCAGAUAUACUAUUUCAUCAUCUUUCUCCUUCAGACUUUGUCCUGCUGACCUGCUUAAAAUACUUCUAGUUUCAAUCACUUUUCCUCUGAUAUUUUCCAGAUAUUUUUUGGUAAGU
rnacentral:lncRNA from 1 species